rnacentral:rRNA from 1 species
AGUGAACGCUGGCGGCAGGCCUAACACAUGCAAGUCGAACGGCAGCACAGUAAGAGCUUGCCCUUACGGGUGGCGAGUGGCGGACGGGUGAGGAAUACAUCGGAAUCUACUUUUUCGUGGGGGACAACGUAGGGAAACUUACGCUAAUACAGCAUACGACCUACGGGUGAAAGCAGGGGAUCUUCGGACCUUGCGUGAUUGAUUGAGCCGAUGUCGGAUUAGCUAGUUGGCGGGGUAAAGUCACACCAAGCCGACGCUCCGUAGCUGGUCUGAGAGGAUGAUCAGCCACACUGGAACUGAGACACGGUCCAGACUCCUACGGGAGGCAGCAGUGGGGAAUAUUGGGCAAUGGGCGCAAGCCUGAUCCAGCAAUACCGCGUGGGUGAAGAAGGCCUUCGGGUUGUAAAGCCCUUUUGUUGGGAAAGAAAAGCAGCAUGUUAAUACCCCGCUGUUCUGACGGUACCCAAAGAAUAAGCACCGGCUAACUUCGUG